rnacentral:tRNA from 1 species
GGCUCGUUGGUCUAGGGGUAUGAUUCUCCGCUUUGGGUGCGAGAGGUCCCGGUUCAAAUCCCGAUGAGCCC